rnacentral:rRNA from 1 species
UACGUAGGGUGCGAGCGUUAAUCGGAAUUACUGGGCGUAAAGCGUGCGCAGGCGGCUUUGCAAGACAGAUGUGAAAUCCCCGGGCUCAACCUGAACUGCAUUUGUGACUGCAAGGCUAGAGUACGGCAGAGGGGGAUGGAAUUCCGCGUGUAGCAGUGAAAUGCGUAGAUAUGCGGAGGAACACCAAUGGCGAAGGCAAUCCCCUGGGCCUGUACUGACGCUCAUGCACGAAAGCGUGGGGAGCAAACAGG